CCAGACUCCUACGGGAGGCAGCAGUGGGGAAUAUUGCACAAUGGGGGGAACCCUGAUGCAGCGACGCCGCGUGGGUGAAGGAGCACCUCGGUGCGUAAAGCCCUAUCGGCAGGGAAGAAACAGACGGUACCUGACUAAGAAGCCCCGGCUAACUACGUGCCAGCAGCCGCGGUAAUACGUAGGGAGCAAGCGUUGUCCGGAAUUACUGGGUGUAAAGGGAGCGUAGGCGGGGAUGCAAGUUGGGUGUCAAAACUACCGGCUCAACCGAUAGUCGCACUCAAAACUGCAGCUCUUGAGUGAAGUAGAGGCAGGCGGAAUUCCUAGUGUAGCGGUGAAAUGCGUAGAUAUUAGGAGGAACACCAGUGGCGAAGGCGGCCUGCUGGGCUUUUACUGACGCUGAGGCUCGAAAGUGUGGGGAGCAAACAGGAUUAGAUACCCCAGUA
rnacentral:rRNA from 1 species